GCCACUUCUGCAAUGGAUUUGGGGGUCCCUGGGCAGGCGUGUGGGUGGGGCAGAUUUUAGGAAGGGGAUGAGCUGCUGUGGGGGCGUCUCCCUUACUGCGGGAAAUGGAAAGUAUUACAGCUAUGGCUGGUGAGAGUGUCAGUGCCAGAGGCCAGGUCUUUGCCAGGUGGAGAGGACACCCUUAUGCCCUACCCCCAAGUUCCAGCACCUCUCCAAGAGCCCUUGGCCCCGGAAGCAGCAACAAAGUGACACUGGACUGGGGAAGAGGAAGCACAACUUUAUUUUCUGGCCCGAAGUAUUCCUCGGGGGUCCCUGGGCCAGAAAGACAUCAGCUCGGAGUUCCUCCAGCAACUCAAAGAAGAGAGAAAGCUGGUCCCCAAACUCUCCCGCUAUAGCGCCUUCUGGGUCCCCGGUGGAUGCCUCUUGUGCUGAGAACUGGUUAUCGCUCUGAAAAACUGAAAGACGCCAUGCGCAGACACUGGUUGCUAAACGUGCUUUUGCCCUCCGGGGGCAGACACUGAGAUCCGGCCUGGGAAAGCCGUCCAGCUGUCAGCGUCAGCGUUUGCUCUGGGGGGUUGGUUGUCGGGGGAGGUAGGGAAAGUGAAAAGAAACAAGUGUUACCUGUUUGACGAGGCCUGGUCCUUGCAGCCAGGGCCUCCGGGAUCAUCGCCUUGGCAGGGGGCCCUGAGCAGUCCUGGCUCUCCUGCUAGCUCCCCGAGACAGAACACUUUUCCCCGCUCGCUGCCUCAGUUUCCCCAUACACCAAGGGAGGGGCAGCACCCCCUGCUGUGGCUUCGAAGGGUUCUUGGAUGUAUCCAAUGUUAUAUAUAAUAAGCUCUAACGAUGUAUAAGCUCUAAAGGUGCUUUGAAAAUCGGGGAGUCCACGCAUUAAACACGGAAGGCGAUAAUAUGAAUACACGCAGAGGAAUUCAUGGGUGGGGAGACAGCAGCCCGCCACUGAGCCUGGGGUUCUGGAAUCAGCCAGGCCUGCAUUCCAGCCCGAGCUCUGUGACUCUCUUGCUGUGUCGCCCUGGACAAGCAGCUCCUCAGGCAUGAAACCUGUGACUCGAAAUAGAUGUCUCCCAAGUCUGAUUUGCACAUCUGAUUUUGCGGGGCGCCGGCUAAAGGUGAAAAUUAUCCUCAUAGGUAUUUUCUUUGCACCGCUGAUUUCUAUUUCAGGCAAUUGGUUGGUUUUCCAUUUAGGGUUGGGAGACGGGGCCCUUUUUUUUCCCAUCAGUUGAUGUCAGUUAAAAAAAAAAAAAAAAGAGUGGGUUUUUUGGAAGAAAAAUAUUAAGCAACUACAGGUGCCCUGAGGAUGGGGCAGAAAUCAAGAGAGUCGUUUGUCAAGUUUCAGAGGUCCACUUUUAAAGAAUUCUGGUUUAUCUUAGGGAUUUUCCGCACCCCUGUGGUCGGUGUGGGGAGGGGUGGGGGUAGAGGGAGGAGUUGCCAAUUCAGAUCUAUAGCGGGCUCCAGCAUGACAAAACUGGGUGUCACACAUCUUCCUUUUGGGGGGCGGGAAACCACCCUUCCCUGCUCACCGACGCCACUGGGACCUCUUACCCCCCACCCCUGCAUUGAUCCAUAGCUCGGAUUUCUCUCUCAUUUUAGGGUCAUGAUGACUCAGCACCCUCCUUUCUGGCCAGGGCACCUCCCUUGGCCUCUAGGGGCACUUGCCUGACAGGCCUCACUGUGCCGGACCCGGGCGCCAGCUGCCCACCAGCCCCCUGGGACUGUGGUUUUGCAGGGAAACAGUGGGUGAUCAGUCCCAGCCGGGCAGGGGCCAACUCCGGUUUCACUUUCUGCUGCGUCAUGGGGUGAGGGGUGGCAGCGGGCCCCCGCUGGCCAGCUACGGCUGGCACCAAGAGGCCUGCAGACAGCUGCUGGCCCUGCUGCCACCCCUCACCCCCCGCCCACCCCCUGCAGCCUGCCAGGAUGGGGGCUGGGCUCUUAAGCACCUAUUAAAUCUCUCCACCUGUGCAGUGUCGGGGGUGCCCAAGUGAGAAAAGCCUGGAGCCGAUGAGAAGGUUUCCUGAGUUGUUGGAGAUUCCCCCAAAACAGCCUUUUUUUUUUUUUUUUUUUUAAAUUGAGACAGGGUCUCUCUUGUCACCCAGCCUGGAUUGCAGUGUGCAGUCAUAGCUACUGCAGCCUUGAACUCCUGAGCUCAAGCGAUUGUCCUGCCUCAGCCUCCAAGGCGCCUGGGCUACAGGUGCACGCCACGAGGUCCUGCCCAAAACAAGCUUGUAAAUCACGCAGGCUGGACAUUCAAGAGAGCUGUGGCGUGCUUCUGGGUGGGAUUGCUGUGGCUGGACACUGCUUCUGCCCUUCCUUCCCUGGACAGAUGUCUGCUGAGGCCCCUGUGUGCUGAGCUGGUGCCAGUGCUGGAGGUACAGCAAGGAGCCCGACAGCCCCUGCCCGCAUGGGGCUCACAGCUGAGUUGGGAGACAGACAGAAGAAUCAAAGAAAUAAUGCCACAUUACGAUGAAAAUUUCAAGCUGAAUACUGGUGUUAGGAUCUCAGGAAGGGAUCGUGCAUGUGUGUCUGUCAUGAGUCAACUCCCAGAACACAUAGCAUAGGAGGCCAAGCGAAGGCUGCGCCUUCACCUCUAAAAGUUUGCUGAAAAUAACUGACAGGCCGGCAUGGUGGCUCACGCCAGUAAUCCUAGCACUUUGGGAGGCCGAGGUGGGAGGAUCACUGGAGCCCAGGAGUUCAAAAUCUUCCUGGGCAACAUAGUAAGAUCUUGUCCCUAUUUUGUAUUUAUUUAAAUUUUUUACCAAAGAAUGACAACAAGUGGCCGGGCGCGGUGGCUCAAGCCUGUAAUCCCAGCACUUUGGGAGGCCGAGACGGGCGGAUCACGAGGUCAGGAGAUCGAGACCAUCCUCUCCAACACGGUGAACCCCGUCUCUACUAAAAA
rnacentral:lncRNA from 1 species